GAAAUGCGAUAAGUAGUGUGAAUUGCAGAAUUCAGUGAAUCAUCGAAUCUUUGAACGCACAUUGUGCCCUUUGGUAUUCCAAAGGGCAUGCCUGUUCGAGCGUCAUUUGUACCCUCAAGCUUUGCUUGGUGUUGGGCGUCUUGUCUCUAGCUUUGCUGGAGACUCGCCUUAAAGUAAUUGGCAGCCGGCCUACUGGUUUCGGAGCGCAGCACAAGUCGCACUCUCUAUCAGCAAAGGUCUAGCAUCCAUUAAGCCUUUUUUUCAACUUUUGACCUCGGAUCAGGUAGGGAUACCCGCUGAACUUAAGC
rnacentral:misc_RNA from 1 species